GUGGAAAUGUUACACGUCACACGUAAAACAAAAAUCAUAUUGUUUAGUAUCAUUUAAAAAAAAUUUGAACAGAAAAUCUAAACGUGUUAGUGACGUUUUAAAUAAGCUAGCCAACAUGUUUUUGUAAAACAUAGUAAGCAUCUUAAUUACCGUAAAAAAAGUAGAAACUUUUUCCUGGCCUAAAGUAUAAUAAACCUCUUCAGAUAUCUUUGAUCAGGAAAAGAAAAAGUAUUUUUAAACGUUAAUGUUCUCCUGUUCUAUUACAUUGGUGCUAAAUAAAAAUCAUUUGUUCUGCUGUUCUACUACAUUGGUGCUGGUCACUUCUACAUGUUUAAAACUUUAUUUCAUUUGUUCUGCUGUUCUACUACAUUGGUGCUGGUCACUUCUACAUGUUUAAAACUUUAUUUUUUUUACAGCACAACAAAACAAUCAUGCAAGGAACCGAUAAGAAAAAACCUGGUACCAGGAAAUAAAUCUUCUUUGACAAUUAAAAACUCCAGAAGACAUUUGAGCUGAAAUCAAGUGGUGUUAACCAGAAGAUCAUGUGUACUGAGUUGAGGAUCACAAGGAUCACACUUUAAAAAAUUGAAGAAGAAGCACACACAAAAACUUGGAGGACUAAAAGUUCUAUGUAAGUUAGAGGAAAAGACAGUUGCUGAGCAUUUGGUUGCUUCUUCUUAAUGGGAGUUUCCAUUUGGUUGCUGAUUUUUUAAAAGGAGUUUCCAUUUGAAAGGCAAAUCACCAGAUAAUAGAACCGUUUCCUAAAGGAAUGUAUAUAAUAGAAGUUGGAAUAACAGAGCACAAAAAAUCAUAAUUAGCAAUUUCCAAGUUUCAAUCAAAAGGAACAAAAACAGUAAUUUAAUUUGGAAUAAUUUCACUAUUGUGGAUAGAAGUAGGGGUAGAACAAGCAUCAGAAUGUAACAAAUCAACAACAUCAAAAAAAGAAUCAUUAAAAGAGAAAACAGAGCUUAAAAAAUCUCUUAUUAAGUCAUGCGAGAUUUUUUUUUUUUUUUAACAUCUUUAUUUCCAACAAGACUACAAGCAACCAAUUUUAGAGUUGGAAGUUACUUGAAGAUAAGGUUUAUAUGAGAGAUCAUUAAGAAGAGAUAAUCCGAGACAAUGUAGAAGACAUAUUAACAGUGUUGCUAUUUAUCAAUUUAGAAAUAUCAAUAGCAUUACGGAGACAUUGAAAAGACUUUGCCAGAUACAACAUAUUAAGAGAAAUUAUAGGUGCAGGGCUGUGGAGUCGGAGUCGGAGUUCCGACAUUUGUAGCGGAGUCGGAGUCG